GUGCGGCGGCCGGCGGACAGCACCUGGGGUACCCUAGCCAAAUCUACCACCUGGGGGCGGCGACGGGGCCGGCGAGGUCGAGGGCGGGGAACAUAUGCAGGCACUCGCCGCUCACCAGCCCAGCGGACGGUUGCUGCGGCGCAGGACGGCGACCCCCGACGGCACCGCCGCGUGUUUGCCAUACGAGUUGAGAACAAAACGCAUGUCCUGGGAUGUCGCAACGUCUAUUGGUCUUUGUUUUCUGUUCAGCAACAAAGAAUCGCAUUACAGUAAUUCGAUCAAGUCAUUGAAUCCAAGAAUUCUUCAAGAAAUAUUACUCACCGUAGGUUCUGGGCUUUGGGGUUAGCCCCAGACCGCAGAAGAAGCUGCACACAGCUCAAAGAACCAUUCUUCACUGCAAGGAAUAAUGGGGUUUCCUUGGUCUUGGAAGGUAUAUCAACGCAAUCUUGUGCAUGAAGCAGAAGUGACUUACAGAGCAACGAAACAACAGUACCAAUCAGUCACAGUGGUAGUGCACUAGUAUUAAGUACUAGGAAAGGAAGUAACAAAAGGCUACCUGAAGAGCCUUGUAAUUUCCCUUUGCUGCAGCGCUGUGCACUGGUGUGAGACCCAGUUUGUUACCCUGGAAAACUCUGGCACCACUCUUCAGCAGGAGCCACACAAUCCUGGACAAAUACAGAAAAUACUAAGGAUCAUUUGGGAAUAGUAUAAACAGAUAUCUUACAAUUCAUCUGUUAAUGGAGCAGAAUUUCUUUAAAGAGGCACCUUGGCUCCUGUGUGCUUGAGCUACUACUAAUGCACCAGUGAAGUGCUGUGUUUCCUUCCGGGUCGGUUUCAUUGACAUCAACAUCCCCCAUAAGAAGCAUCUUUGUGACACUCAUAUCUCCAACCUACACAAAGAAGAUUGGUACUACCAGAAGCAGCAUGGCCAGUGCAGCGACACGCCCCUCCAUGGCGUAUCUAGAAGCCAGGAGGUCCUCGAGUGAGUUGUCCAGUGACCAAUCAACUUGCACCCUGAAGAGAAAGCAUUGCAUGAACAGGGCGACCUCGAGCGCGAUAAGGGGCCUGCCAUCGACCACCCUCAAGUCGGUCCUGGCAUUCCUGGAGAGGAGCAGCUGAAUGCACCUCGCCGAGUGCGUCUCGGCGGCGAUGUGCAGCGGCGUCCGCAUCAGCUGGU